UUGCGGGGGGCUCACAUCAUGUUGUCAUCUGGUAAAUGAUGUAACUCCCCUGCAACC
rnacentral:pre_miRNA from 1 species